rnacentral:rRNA from 1 species
AAGUUGCAGGGUAUAGACCCGAAACCCGGUGAUCUAGCCAUGGGCAGGUUGAAGGUUGGGUAACACUAACUGGAGGACCGAACCGACUAAUGUUGAAAAAUUAGCGGAUGACCUGUGGCUGGGGGUGAAAGGCCAAUCAAACCGGGAGAUAGCUGGUUCUCCCCGAAAGCUAUUUAGGUAGCGCCUCGUGAAUUCAUCUCCGGGGGUAGAGCACUGUUUCGGCUAGGGGGCCAUCCCGGCUUACCAACCCGAUGCAAACUGCGAAUACCGGAGAAUGUUAUCACGGGAGACACACGGCGGGUGCUAACGUCCGUCGUGAAGAGGGAAACAACCCAGACCGCCAGCUAAGGUCCCAAAGUCAUGGUUAAGUGGGAAACGAUGUGGGAAGGCCCAGACAGCCAGGAUGUUGGCUUAGAAGCAGCCAUCAUUUAAAGAAAGCGUAAUAGCUCACUGGUCGAGUCGGCCUGCGCGGAAGAUGUAACGGGGCUAAACCAUGCACCGAAGCUGCGGCAGC